UGAGGAAUCUUCCGCAAUGGGCGCAAGCCUGACGGAGCGACACCGCGUGGAGGAUGAAGCCCUUCUUGGGCGUAAACUCCUGUUCUGAGGGACGAAAUUUUUGACGGUACCUCAGGAGAAAGUAUCGGCUAACCCUGUGCCAGCAGCCGCGGUAAGACAGGGGAUACAAGCAUUACUCGGAAUUACUGGGCGUAAAGCGUCUGUAGGCGACCAAGCAAGUCGGGGGUGAAAGUCCAAAGCUCAACUUUGUGAUUGCCCUGGAAACUGCUUGGAUUGAGCCACUGAGAGGCACCUGGAAUGCCAUGUGGAGGAGUAAAAUCCGUAGAGACAUGGUGGAACGCCAAAAGCGAAGGCAGGGUGCUAGCGGUCGGCUGACGCUGAGAGACGAAAGCGUGGGGAGCAAACAGGAUUAGAUACCCCUGUAGUCCCUGAGCGGGCUGGCAAGGCGCAU
rnacentral:rRNA from 1 species